UUCAGCUGUAGAAAUAUUUGUAAUUCAGAUUUGUCAGAUGACAUCUAGGAAAAGAACAGUAAGAUAUUUUCAGUAAAUGCAGCCAACAGUAUAUCAUAUAAGUACGAGUUUGUAGACAUGAUCUGAAAAAAAACAGUUAUGCAUGGCAAGUUCAAAAGAGGUGAUGGAAAAGAAAAAGAAUUUAAAUAUGGCGUUGCAAUAUUAUGCAAUGUAACUUGAGAGCUAUAGCAAUAUGGAAAUUUACUCAAGUGAUUGGAGUUUGAGAUUUUCACAGGGAUUCACUCUUAUUGCAACUGGUGAACAUGGUCUCAUGCCUUGUACUAACUGGAAGAUUGCCAAGGAGGGUUGUUCAUGGAAUUAUGUAAUACCAGUAGAUUGUUACCUCAUUGUCAAAUUCACGUGUUCCCUGUGUUGAUGUGGCAGAUCUGACCUUCACAGCCACUUCUUGGCCAUCAGGAAGAGUACCCCGAUAUCAUACUCUGUGGUGAGAUUGGAUCUUCUAAGGCUGGCUGGAAGCCUAUUGCUGAGAUACGGACUGCUGUCAUAAUGUCUGCGGGCAGAAGGAGAAGAACCUCAGGUUAGGCACAAGGUUCUUCUAGUUAAUAUUGACAAUAGAAUACACAAGAAAUCAAUUCCCGACUAAACUUACAGCGUUGUCAAAUUUGGCAGUGAGGUUACUAACUCUGUAAUGUUUCCCACGAGACUGGUGUGACUUGUAUCCCUAGAAAAUGAAAUGCAAAUUGUUCACAUAAAAA